rnacentral:rRNA from 1 species
GAUGAACGCUGGCGGCGUGCCUAAUACAUGCAAGUCGAGCGAACGGACGAGAAGCUUGCUUCUCUGAUGUUAGCGGCGGACGGGUGAGUAACACGUGGAUAACCUACCUAUAAGACUGGGAUCACUUCGGGAAACCGUAGCUAAUACCGGAUAAUAUUUUGAACCGCAUGGUUCAAAAGUGAAAUACGGUCUUGCUGUCACUUAUAGAUGGAUCCGCGCUGCAUUAGCUAGUUGGUAAGGUAACGGCUUACCAAGGCAGCGAUGCAUAGCCGACCUGUGAGGGUGAUCGGCCACACUGGAGGGGGGACAGGGACCAGGGGACUACGGGAGGCAGCAGUAGGGAAUGGUAGGCAAUGGGCGAAAGCCUUGCGGAGCAACGGGGAGCGAGUGAUGAAGGUCUUGGGAGCGUAAAGCUCUGUUAUGAGGGAAGAACAUAUGUGGAAGUAAAUGUGCAGAGCUUGACGGUACCUAAUCAGAAAGCCACGGCUAACUACGUG